CCGCGUGUGUGAUGAAGGUCUGCGGGUUGUAAAGCACUUUUAUCAGGAAAGAAAAACCCGGAAUUAAUACUUCCGGCAUUGACGGUACCUGAAGAAUAAGCACCGGCUAACUAAGUGCCAGCAGCCGCGGUAAUACUUAGGGUGCGAGCGUUAAUCGGAAUUACUGGGCGUAAAGCGGGUGUAGGCGGCUGCGUAAGUCGGAUGUGAAAGCCCCGGGCUCAACCUGGGAAUUGCAUUCGAAACUGCGUAGCUAGAGUUUGGUAGAGGUAAGUGGAAUUCAAGGUGUAGCGGUGAAAUGCGUAGAUAUCUUGAGGAACAUCAGUGGCGAAGGCGGCUUACUGGACCAAAACUGACGCUGAGGCUCGAAAGCGUGGGGAGCAAACAGGAUUAGAUACCCUGGUAGUCCACGCCCUAAACGAUGUCAACUAGACGUUGGGUUCAUUAAGGAACUUAGUGUCGUAGCUAACGCGUUAAGUUGACCGCCUGGGGAGUACGGCCGCAAGGUUAAAACUCAAAUGAAUUGACAGGGGCCCGCACAAGCGGUGGAGCAUGUGGUUUAAUUCGAUGCAACGCGAAGAACCUUACCAGGUCUUGACAUCCUGAGAAUCCUGUAGAGAUACGGGAGUGCCUUCGGGAUUCAGUGACAGGUGCUGCAUGGCUGUCGUCAGCUCGUGUCGUGAGAUGUUGGGUAAGUCCCGUAACGAGCGCACCCUUGUCUUAUUUGCAGCACGUAUGGUGGGACUCUAAGAGACUGCCGGUGACAACCGGAGAAGUGGGGACGACGUCAGUCUCUGGCCUUAC
rnacentral:rRNA from 1 species